rnacentral:rRNA from 1 species
GAUGGGAGCUUGCUCCCUGAUGUUAGCGGCGGACGGGUGAGUAACACGUGGGUAACCUGCCUGUAAGACUGGGAUAACUCCGGGAAACCGGGGCUAAUACCGGAUGGUUGUUUGAACCGCAUGGUUCAAACAUAAAAGGUGGCUUCGGCUACCACUUACAGAUGGACCCGCGGCGCAUUAGCUAGUUGGUGAGGUAACGGCUCACCAAGGCAACGAUGCGUAGCCGACCUGAGAGGGUGAUCGGCCACACUGGGACUGAGACACGGCCCAGACUCCUACGGGAGGCAGCAGUAGGGAAUCUUCCGCAAUGGACGAAAGUCUGACGGAGCAACGCCGCGUGAGUGAUGAAGGUUUUCGGAUCGUAAAGCUCUGUUGUUAGGGAAGAACAAGUACCGUUCGAAUAGGGCGGUACCUUGACGGUACCUAACCAGAAAGCCACGGCUAACUACGUGCCAGCAGCCGCGGUAAUACGUAGGUGGCAAGCGUUGUCCGGAAUUAUUGGGCGUAAAGGGCUCGCAGGCGGUUUCUUAAGUCUGAUGUGAAAGCCCCCGGCUCAACCGGGGAGGGUCAUUGGAAACUGGGGAACUUGAGUGCAGAAGAGGAGAGUGGAAUUCCACGUGUAGCGGUGAAAUGCGUAGAGAUGUGGAGGAACACCAGUGGCGAAGGCGACUCUCUGGUCUGUAACUGACGCUGAGGAGCGAAAGCGUGGGGAGCGAACAGGAUUAGAUACCCUGGUAGUCCACGCCGUAAACGAUGAGUGCUAAGUGUUAGGGGGUUUCCGCCCCUUAGUGCUGCAGCUAACGCAUUAAGCACUCCGCCUGGGGAGUACGGGUCGCAAGACUGAAACUCAAAGGGAAUUGACGGGGGCCCGCACAAAGCGGUGGAGCAUGUGGGUUUAAUUCGAAGCAACGCGAAGAACCUUUACCAGGUCUUGACAUCCUCUGACAAUCCUAGAGAUAGGACGUCCCCUUYSGGGGCAGAGUGACAGGUGGUGCAUGGUUGUCGUCAGCUCGUGUCGUGAGAUGUUGGGUUAAGUCCCGCAACGAGCGCAACCCUUGAUCUUAGUUGCCAGCAUUCAGUUGGGCACUCUAAGGUGACUGCCGGUGACAAACCGGAGGAAGGUGGGGAUGACGUCAAAUCAUCAUGCCCCUUAUGACCUGGGCUACACACGUGCUACAAUGGACAGAACAAAGGGCAGCGAAACCGCGAGGUUAAGCCAAUCCCACAAAUCUGUUCUCAGUUCGGAUCGCAGUCUGCAACUCGACUGCGUGAAGCUGGAAUCGCUAGUAAUCGCGGAUCAGCAUGCCGCGGUGAAUACGUUCCCGGGCCUUGUACACACCGCCCGUCACACCACGAGAGUUUGUAACACCCG